AGAGUUUGAUCCUGGCUCAGAACGAACGCUGGCGGCGUGCUUAACACAUGCAAGUCGAGUGCACAGUUUCCCUGCCGCAAGGCAGGGGGAUGGGUGCACGGCGCACGGGUGAGUAACACGUGGGCAAUCUGCCCUCCGAUGGGGAAUAACCCCGCGAAAGCGGGGCUAAUUCCGCAUAAUAUUCCCUGGACCUCGGUCUGGGGAUUCAAAGCCGUAAGGCGUCGGAGGAGGAGCCCGCGCCCGAUUAGCUAGUUGGUGAGGUAACGGCUCACCAAGGCAAUGAUCGGUAGCUGGUCUGAGAGGAUGGCCAGCCACACUGGAACUGAGACACGGUCCAGACUCCUACGGGAGGCAGCAGUGGGGAAUCUUGCGCAAUGGGCGAAAGCCUGACGCAGCAACGCCGCGUGGGGGAUGAAGGCCUUCGGGUUGUAAACCCCUUUCAGUGGGAACGAAAUUGACGGUACCCACAGAAGAAGCCCCGGCCAACUACGUGCCAGCAGCCGCGGUGAUACGUAGGGGGCGAGCGUUGUCCGGAUUUAUUGGGCGUAAAGAGCUCGUAGGCGGCUUGGUAAGUCGGGUGUGAAACCUCCAGGCUCAACCUGGAGACGCCACUCGAUACUGCCCUGGCUAGAGUCCGGUAGGGGAUCACGGAAUUCCUGGUGUAGCGGUGAAAUGCGCAGAUAUCAGGAGGAACACCAGUGGCGAAGGCGGUGAUCUGGGCCGGUACUGACGCUGAGGAGCGAAAGCGUGGGGAGCGAACAGGAUUAGAUACCCUGGUAGUCCACGCCGUAAACGUUGGGCACUAGGUGUGGGGCCUUAUCGACGGGUUCCGUGCCGCAGCUAACGCAUUAAGUGCCCCGCCUGGGGAGUACGGCCGCAAGGUUAAAACUCAAAUGAAUUGACGGGGGCCCGCACAAGCG
rnacentral:rRNA from 1 species